rnacentral:rRNA from 1 species
AUGCAAGUCGAACGGCAGCGCGGGCUUCGGCCUGGCGGCGAGUGGCGGACGGGUGAGUAAUGCAUCGGAACGUGCCCAGGAGUGGGGGAUAACGUAGCGAAAGUUACGCUAAUACCGCAUACGUACUGAGGUAGAAAGCGGGGGAUCGAAAGACCUCGCGCUCAUGGAGCGGCCGAUGUCGGAUUAGCUAGUUGGUGGGGUAAAGGCCCACCAAGGCGACGAUCCGUAGCUGGUCUGAGAGGACGACCAGCCACACUGGGACUGAGACACGGCCCAGACUCCUACGGGAGGCAGCAGUGGGGAAUCUUGGACAAUGGGGGAAACCCUGAUCCAGCAAUGCCGCGUGUGGGAUGAAGGCCCUCGGGUUGUAAACCACUUUUGGCAGGAAAGAAAUCGCCUGUGCUAAUACCACGGGCGGAUGACGGUACCUGCAGAAUAAGCACCGGCUAACUACGUGCCAGCAGCCGCGGUAAUACGUAGGGUGCGAGCGUUAAUCGGAAUUACUGGGCGUAAAGCGUGCGUAGGCGGUUUUGUAAGACAGAUGUGAAAUCCCCGGGCUCAACCUGGGAACUGCAUUUGUGACUGCAAGACUAGAGUGUGUCAGAGGGAGGUGGAAUUCCGCGUGUAGCAG